GAUUAACGCUGGCGGUAUGCCUAAUACAUGCAAGUCGAACGAACUAUUUAUAGUUAGUGGCGAACGGGUGAGUAACACGUAUCCAAUCUACACUUAAGUUGGGGAUAACCAGUCGAAAGAUUGGCUAAUACCGAAUGUGAUUAUUUUUUGGCAUCAAGAAAUAAUUAAAGUCGCGUUUGCGACGCUUUUGGAUGAGGGUGCGGGAUAUCAGGUAGUUGGUGAGGUAAUGGCUCACCAAGCCUAUGACGUCUAGCUGUACUGAGAGGUAGAACAGCCACAAUGGGACUGAGACACGGCCCAUACUCCUACGGGAGGCAGCAGUAGGGAAACUUUCACAAUGGACGAAAGUCUGAUGGAGCAAUACCGCGUGGAUGAUGAAGGUUAUAUAAAUUGUAAAAUCCUUUUAUAAGAGAAGAAAAAAUAGAACAGGAAAUGGUUCUAUUCUGACGGUAUCUUUUGAAUAAGUAACGGCUAACUAUGUGCCAGCAGCCGCGGUAAUACAUAGGUUGCAAGCGUUAUCCGGAUUUACUGGGUGUAAAACGAGCGCGGGUGGACUUAAAAGUUCGAUGUUAAAGGCAGUUGCUCAACAACUGAUUGCAUUGAAAACUAUAAGUCUAGAAUGUAGUAGAGAGUUAUGGAACUCCAUGUGGAGCGGUGGAAUGCGUAGAUAUAUGGAAGAACACUAGAGGCGAAGGCGAUAACUUAGACUAUCAUUGACACUUAGGCUCGAAAGUGUGGGGAGCAAAUAGGAUUAGAUACCCUAGUAGUCCACACCGUAAACGAUGAUUAUUAAAUAUCGGCACGAUGUGUCGGUGUUGCAGCUAACGCAUUAAAUAAUCUACCUGGGUAGUACAUUCGCAAGAAUGAAACUCAAACGGAAUUGACGGGGACCUGCACAAGUGGUGGAGCAUGUUGCUUAAUUUGACAAUACACGUAAAACCUUACCUAGGUUUGACAUCCCCUGCAAAGUUAUAGAGAUAUAAUGGAGGUUAUCAGGGUGACAGGUGGUGCAUGGUUGUCGUCAGCUCGUGUCGUGAGAUGUUGGGUUAAGUCCCGCAACGAGCGCAACCCUUGUCGUUAGUUAAAUUAUCUAACGAGACUGCUUUCGCAAGAAAGAGGAAGGUGGGGAUGACGUCAAAUCAUCAUGCCCCUUAUAUCUAGGGCCGCAAACGUGCUACAAUGGUCGGUACAAAGUGUCGCUACUUCGUAAGGAGACGCAAAUCACAUAAAGCCGAUCUCAGUUCGGAUUGAGGGCUGCAACUCGCCCUCAUGAAGUUGGAAUCACUAGUAAUCGCGAAUCAGACAUGUCGCGGUGAAUACGUUCCCAGGUCUUGUACACACCGCCCGUCAAACUACGGGAGUUGGUAAUAUCUGAAAUCGUAUCGCUAACUUCGGAGGCAUACGUCUAGGGUAGGAUCGAUGACUGGAGU
rnacentral:rRNA from 1 species